AUUGAACGCUGGCGGCAGGCUUAACACAUGUAAGUCGAGCGGAGCGAGGGUGCUUGCACCUUAGCUUAGCGGCGGACGGGUGAGUAAUGCUUAGGAAUCUGCCUAUUAGUGGGGGACAACAUUCCGAAAGGGAUGCUAAUACCGCAUACGCCCUACGGGGGAAAGCAGGGGAUCUUCGGACCUUGCGCUAAUAGAUGAGCCUAAGUCGGAUUAGCGAGUUGGUGGGGUAAAGGCCUACCAAGGCGACGAUCUGUAGCGGGGCUGAGAGGAUGAUCCGCCACACUGGGACUGAGACACGGCCCAGACUCCUACGGGAGGCAGCAGUGGGGAAUAUUGGACAAUGGGCGGAAGCCUGAUCCAGCCAUGCCGCGUGUGUGAAGAAGGCCUUUUGGUUGUAAAGCACUUUAAGCGAGGAGGAGGCUACUAGUAUUAAUACUACUGGAUAGUGGACGUUACUCGCAGAAUAAGCACCGGCUAACUCUGUGCCAGCCGCCGCCGUAAAAC
rnacentral:rRNA from 1 species